GGCACCCAAAUGCACUAUUUCCGGGUAGCGAAACUCGGGUGGAUUUUUUUCGCAAUGAACGUAUCCAAUCUACCUAAUUAUUCCCUAGAACAUGUUUCGGAGUGUUUUUGAGCAUUCGGUUACGGCACGAAAAACGAUGCAAAACGGGUGCAUUUCGGCACCCGAAUGCACUAUUUCCGGGUAGUGAAACUCGGGUUGAUUUUUUCGCAACGAACGCAUGCAAUCUUCCUAACUAUACCCUAGAACAUGUUUGGGAGGUUUUUGAGCAUUCGGUUCCGGCACGAAAAAACGAUGCAAAACGGGUGCAUUUCGGCACCCGAAUGUACUAGUUUCCGGGUAGCGAAACUCGGGUGGAUUUUUUCGCACUGAACGCAUGCAAUCUUCCUAACUAUACCCUAGAACAUGUUUGGUAGUGUUUUUGAGCAUUCGUAUUUUCGGCACAGAAAAACGAUGCAAAACGGGUGCAUUUCGGCACCCGAAUGCACUAUUUCCGGGUAGCGAAACUCGGGUGGAUUUUUUCGCAAUGACGCAUGCAAUCUUCUAAUAAGACACGAAGAACAUGUUUGGUAGUGUUUUUGAGCAUUCGUAACUGGCACUAAAAAACGAUGCAAAACGGGUGCGUUUCGGCACCCAAAUGCACUAUUUCCGGGUAGCGAAACUCGGGUGGAUUUUUUCGCAAUGAACGUAUCCAAUCUUCCUAAUUAUUCCCUAGAACAUGUUUCGGAGUGUUUUUGAGCAUUCGGUUACAGGCACGAAAAACGAUGCAAAACGGGUGCAUUUCGGCACCCGAAUGCACUAUUUUCGGUAGCGAAACUCGGGUGGAUUUUUUCGCAACGAACGCAUGCAAUCUUCCUACUAUACCCUAGAACAUGUUUGGGAGUGUUUUUGAGCAUUCGGUUACGGCACGAAAACGAUGCAAACGGGUGCAUUUCGGCACCCGAAUGCACUAUUUCCGGGUAGCGAAAACUCGGGUGGAUUUUUUCGCAACGAACGCAUGCAAUCUUCCUAAUAAGACCCAAGAACAUGUUUGGUAGUGUUUUUGAGCAUUCGUAACUGGCACAAAAAACGAUGCAAAACAGGGUGCGUUUCGGCACCCAAAUGCACUAUUUCCGGGUAGCGAAACUCGGGUGGAUUUUUUCGCAAUGAACGCAUGCAAUCUACCUAAUUAUACCCUAGAACAUGUUUCGGAGUGUUUUUGAGCAUUCGGUUACGGCACGAAAAACGAUGCAAAACGGGUGCAUUUCGGCACUCGAAUGCACUAGUUCCGGGUAGCGAAACUCGGGUGGAUUUUUUCGCAACGAACGCAUGCAAUCUUCCUAACUAUACC
rnacentral:lncRNA from 1 species